UUUAGAAUCACGAUGAAGAUCGAUAUGAAGAAAAUUUUCAGUUUCUUCGGCGGCGGUGCACCACUCCGUAUAGACUGAAGAUUGAAACAACUCGGUUUCCCGGGAACAGUCUACGAUUACAAUAUUUUAAUAAUUUCAUUCUGAAGCUCAAAGAAGACGAAUGAAGAAAUAAGAGCUAGCUAUUUCUUCGGCGGUGAUGGUGCACGUUUGAACUGUAAAUGUGGUGCAGCUCGAUUUCGCCGAACAGCGUCGAAGAAUACUUACAAUCACGAUGAAGAUCGAUAUGAAGAAAAUUUGCAGUUUUUCUUCGGCGGCGGUGCACUACUACGUAUAGUCUGAAGAUUGACACAACUCGGUUUCACGGGAACAGUCGACGCUUAAGUAAGUUUUUUUUUAUUUUCUUUUUUGGGAUUAAAAUUAUUUUUUAAACUUAAAAUAAAAUAUACAAAUUUAUAUGAACAAUCCGCGCUAGUCGGACGAUGUAGUUGAUGUAGACGCAUAUUUUAUUCUCCAGGGUCCAAUGAAAAAAUA